rnacentral:lncRNA from 1 species
UGGGAGUGAAAGGACGGUCUGGUGUCUCGCGAAGGCCUGGGGACCGCAUGUGGGAUGGGAAACUUUAGUGAAUUUGGGUGGUGUGUGAACCAGGCUGAAAAUGAGUCCUCUGUGUAACUGAUAGCUAUGGGAAAGGGAAAUGGGCUUUAGGUCUUUUGGAGUCUGAGCCUCCAGAUUUCUGGAGCCACCCGACCCUUGGCGACACACCAGCGAAGAUUUGUCUGCUCCUGAGAAAAGAGGAAACAUUGAUGCCACCCAGAGAGACUCACAGAGACAUCUUGCUUCCUUUAUAUAUUUACAUAUUGAGAUGAGAGAAGUAGACUAUAACUGUAUAAGGACUUCAAUCUAAGCCUCUGCUUUGUGUAAAAGGAGUGACUAAUGAAUAUGAAUUUGUUAACUGCAGGUUUUCCAGUUUCUUAAUGCCAAAUGUGAGUCCGCAUUCCUUUCCAAAAGGAACCCUCGGCAAAUUAACUGGACUGUCCUCUACAGAAGAAAACACAAGAAAGGACAGUCGGAAGAAAUUCAAAAGAAAAGAACCCGCCGUGCAGUCAAGUUCCAGCGGGCCAUCACAGGCGCUUCUCUGGCUGAUAUAAUGGCCAAGAGGAAUCAGAAACC